rnacentral:lncRNA from 1 species
UAUACCUAUUUCUUUUUCUUUACUAUCCCCUUCUCUCUGUUUUUCUUCACUCUCUUUCUCUUUUCCUUGUUCCUCUUCUUCUCUUCUUUUUAAUUCUUCUUCUUCACUUCUUUCUCACUCACCUCUGUCAUCUUCAAUUUCCUCCGGAGUUGACAUCUUUUCCAUUUCUUUCUUUUUCCUUACCUUCUCCACAUCUUUCUCAACUUCUUCCUGUUUUUGUUCCACUUCUUGCUUCUUGUCA